rnacentral:rRNA from 1 species
GACGAACCGAGCGAACGUUAUUCGGAAUCACUGGGCUUAAAGGGCGCGUAGGCGGGCGGCCAAGUCAGGGGUGAAAGCCCCCAGCUCAACUGGGGAAGUGCCUUUGAUACUGGUCGUCUCGAGGGAGAUAGGGGCGUGCGGAACUUCCGGUGGAGCGGUGAAAUGCGUAGAUAUUGGGAAGAACACCGGUGGCGCAAGCGGCUUGCUGGGCUUUAACUGACGCUGAGGAACGAAAGCUAGGGGAGCGAAUGGG